rnacentral:lncRNA from 1 species
GGUGCGGACCUGGUACCUCUUUUGUGAAGCGGCAGCUGAGGAGACUUCAGUGCUCGCCAUGGCCGACGAAAAGCCCAAGGAAGGAGUCAAGACAGAACAACGAUCAUAUUAAUUUGAAGGGAUUGUCAAUGAGGUAGAUCAGAUUCCCAUUCGACGGGCAACCAGUCAAUGAAACAGACACACCUGCACAGUUGGAAAUGGAGGAUGAAGAUACAAUUGAUGUGUUCCAACAGCAGACGGGAGGUGUCUACUGAAAAGGGAACCUGCUUCUUUACUCCAGAACUCUGUUCUUUAAAGA